rnacentral:rRNA from 1 species
AUUGAACGCUGGCGGCAUGCCUUACACAUGCAAGUCGAACGGUAACAGGUUAAGCUGACGAGUGGCGAACGGGUGAGUAAUAUAUCGGAACGUGCCCAGUCGUGGGGGAUAACGUAGCGAAAGCUACGCUAAUACCGCAUACGAUCUACGGAUGAAAGCGGGGGAUCGCAAGACCUCGCGCGUUUGGAGCGGCCGAUAUCAGAUUAGGUUGUUGGUGAGGUAAAAGCUCACCAAGCCUGCGAUCUGUAGCUGGUCUGGGAGGACGACCAGCCACACUGGAACUGAGACACGGUCCAGACUCCUACGGGAGGCAGCAGUGGGGAAUUUUGGACAAUGGACGCAAGUCUGAUCCAGCAAUGCCGCGUGCAGGACGAAGGCCUUCGGGUUGUAAACUGCUUUUGUACGGAACGAAACGGUGAGCUCUAAUACAGUUUGCUAAUGACGGUACCGUAAGAAUAAGCACCGGCUAACUACGUGCCAGCAGCCGCCGUAA